rnacentral:rRNA from 1 species
AUUGAACGCUGGCGGCAGGCCUAACACAUGCAAGUCGAGCGGAUGAAGAGAGCUUGCUCUCUGAUUUAGCGGCGGACGGGUGAGUAAUGCCUAGGAAUCUGCCUGGUAGCGGGGGAUAACGUCCGGAAACGGGCGCUAAUACCGCAUACGUCCUACGGGAGAAAGCAGGGGACCUUCGGGCCUUGCGCUACCAGAUGAGCCUAGGUCGGAUUAGCUAGUUGGUGAGGUAAUGGCUCACAAAGGCUACGAUCCGUAACUGGUCUGAGAGGAUGAUCAGUCACACUGGAACUGAGACACGGUCCAGACUCCUACGGGAGGCAGCAGUGGGGGAUAUUGGACAAUGGGCGAAAGCCUGAUCCAGCCAUGCCGCGUGUGUGAAGAAGGUCUUCGGAUUGUAAAGCACUUUAAGUUGGGAGGAAGGGCAGUAAGUUAAUACCUUGCUGUUUUGACGUUACCGACAGAAUAAGCACCGGCUAACUUCGUGCCAGCAGCCGCCGUAAAAC